GUGAGUCAUCGAAUCUUUGAACGCACCUUGUGCCCUUUGGACAUCCAAGGGGCAUGCCUGUUUGAGUGUCUUGAAGCCCUCGAGCCAGCCCAUCUUUGUUUUGAGGGUGGUGGUGGUUUGGACUUGGAUGCUUUUGCUGGACUUGUUCAACAAGGGUCAGCUCAUCCAAAAUGCAUUUGCUGCUGGUCUGUGAACUUGGUGUGAUUAAAAUCAUCACUCGCCAGGUGUAAUGGACUUUGAAAAGCCGCUCUGGGGGGGGUAGACACAAGUGAUUUGACCUCAAAUCAGGUAGGAUUACCCGCUGAACUUAAGCAUAUCAAUAAGCGGAGGA
rnacentral:misc_RNA from 1 species